AGGACAUCCAUAUUUUUUUAAUAUUUCCUGGACACUCUGAAUUCUGGACCCCAUUACAAAUCCCUAUCUCGGGUCCCCCUGGCUGUACCCUGUUACAACCUUAUAAUAGUAGCCAAGCAGAAUCAGCCCCUGAGUUCAGAAGAGCCUUCCUUUCCUCUGUGCUGCCUCCCUUGUGCUCAAGCAUAAGCUUAAUAAAAUAUGUCUCGAAAUUUCUCUGGGGCUUCCUCUAGAUUUCUACCCUGGGGAACCCAAGAACCCCAACACUUGGGUCUGGGGGCAGAAGCUCUAAGCACUAUCACAACACUGUUUGGGGUAGGAGAAAUAGGGCUCUCAUGCUUGGUCUCUGGGGUCCUCACAACCCAGUUGGGGGAGAAAAUGGGUCACCCAGCUGGGGUUAAAAAUUACCCACUCUGAUAAACCAGGGGAGGGGGGGACUUCCCACAGGUAGGUGAUUGUCACUGCAGGCUGAUGAAUUCUCUGCGGUGCUGUCAUCCGGUCACCCUUGCCUUUCCAAUACUCAUUAGAUCUCAAUCCAAAGUGUGACAGCAAGUGGGAGAGAUUAAACCCCAUUUGCUCUGAUGACAUAUUGUUGGGCAGCCAUUUCUGUCCAACCUGCAGGCACCAUUUAGUGUGGUGGUGUUCAGUGCAGUGCACUGUGAACCAACCACAUAGCCUGGCUCAAACCCCACCUUUGCCACUGCCCAAUUGUGUUGUCUAGGGUAAGUUACUUAACUGCUUAGGACACAGUUUCCCUAUCUGUAAAGUGGCAAAAAUGAUCCACUUUUAUAGGGCUAUUGGAGUAAUAAAAUGUGACAAUGAAUGCAGUAAUAGUGUCAGGAGACCAAUAGUGCCAUAAGUCAAAGCCUUCCUGAAAAUCUAUAGGGAAAAAAAAAAUGAUACGAACCAUUUGACCUUUCCCCUCUCUUUGAUGGUCCUCAAACUCUUCCAGCAAACAAAAUCCAUCAGACAAACCAUACAGAACUUAAAGCUUCAGGGGCAGGAAGUAAGUAGGACUAAUGCUAUUAUUUCAGGUUUGUCAAAUGUAGUGGCCUCUUUCUACUGAUUUAGACGCAAAGUGGCUGCUUUGUGCUUAACUUCUGAUCUACUUGCCAUGCCCUCAUGGCCUGCCACCCCCAGCUGAAAAUGAAAGA